GGGUAAACCAUCAGGGGUCAGCUGAACAUCAGGGAGGGGUUACCUUUUGAGGAGUCCUUGUUCGAUGAGUGGGAAUUUGUCCCAUGGAAAGAUAUUAAGCAUGCAGUGCAUGAGUUUGGAAAGGACAAAUCACUUUGAGGCCAAGCCAGUAGAGAUCCAGUGUGAAUCCUCCCUUCAUCAGCAAGCAAAGACCUCCAAGAUGUCAGAGCUGCUAUUUGGAAACAGAGCUGCUAUUUGGAAACAGAGCUGCUAUUUGGAAACAGCCCAGGAUCUUGAGCACCCUUGGAGGAAAGCCACCUCCCUCACCUCAGACUGUGACAUGAGCAAGAGAUGA
rnacentral:lncRNA from 1 species